GAUGAACGCUGGCGGCGUGCUUAACACAUGCAAGUCGAGCGAUGAAACACCUUCGGGUGCGGAUUAGCGGCGAACGGGUGAGGAACACGUGAGGAAUCUGCCUUCCACUCUGGGAUAACUCCGGGAAACCGGGGCUAAUACCGGAUACUUUCAACUGGCGGCAUCGCCGGUUGAAGAAAGUCUUUCGGUGGAAGAUGACCUCGCGGCCUAUCAGCUUGUUGUUGAGGUAAAGGCUCACCAAGGCGACGACGGGUAGCCGGCCUGAGAGGGCGACCGGCCACACUGGGACUGAGACACGGCCCAGACUCCUACGGGAGNNNNCAGUGGGGAANAUUNCACAAGGGGCGCAAGCCUGAUGCAGCGACGCCGCGUGAGGGAUGACGGCCUUCGGGUUGUAAACCUCUUUCAGCACCGANGNAGNGCAAGUGACNGUAGGUGCAGAAGAAGGACCGGCCAACUACGUGCCAGCCGCCGCAGUAA
rnacentral:rRNA from 1 species